UACGUAGGUGACGAGCGUUGUCCGGAUUUACUGGGCGUAAAGAGCGCGCAGGCGGUCGUUCAAGUCGAGUGUGAAAGCCCCCGGCUCAACUGGGGAGGGUCAUUCGAUACUGAUCGACUGGAAGGCAGGAGAGGGAAGUGGAAUUCCCGGUGUAGUGGUGAAAUGCGUAGAUAUCGGGAGGAACACCAGUGGCGAAGGCGACUUCCUGGCCUGUUCUUGACGCUGAGGCGCGAAAGCUAGGAGAGCAAACGGG
rnacentral:rRNA from 1 species